AGCUUGCUCCCCCUGAUCAGUGGCGAACGGGUGAGUAACACGUGAGUAACCUGCCCCAGACUCUGGGAUAACAUCGGGAAACCGGUGCUAAUACCGGAUAUGAGACGAGACUGCAUGGUCAUCGUCUGGAAAGAUUUAUCGGUCUGGGAUGGACUCGCGGCCUAUCAGCUAGUUGGUGAGGUAAUGGCUCACCAAGGCGACGACGGGUAGCCGGCCUGAGAGGGCGACCGGCCACACUGGAACUGAGACACGGUCCAGACUCCUACGGGAGGCAGCAGUGGGGAAUAUUGCACAAUGGGCGCAAGCCUGAUGCAGCAACGCCGCGUGGGGGAUGAAGGCCUUCGGGUUGUAAACCCCUUUUAGCAGGGAAGAAGCGAAAGUGACGGUACCUGCAGAAAAAGCGCCGGCUAACUACGUGCCAGCAGCCGCGGUAAUACGUAGGGCGCAAGCGUUGUCCGGAAUUAUUGGGCGUAAAGAGCUCGUAGGCGGUUUGUCGCGUCUGCUGUGAAAGUCCGAGGCUCAACCUCGGAUCUGCAGUGGGUACGGGCAGACUAGAGUGUGGUAGGGGAGACUGGAAUUCCUGGUGUAGCGGUGGAAUGCGCAGAUAUCAGGAGGAACACCAAUGGCGAAGGCAGGUCUCUGGGCCAUAACUGACGCUGAGGAGCGAAAGCGUGGGGAGCGAACAGGAUUAGAUACCCUGGUAGUCCACGCCGUANACGGUGGGCACUAGAUGUGGGGCUCUUUCCAUGAGUUCCGCNUCGCAGCUAACGCAUUAAGUGCCCCGCCUGGGGAGUACGGCCGCAAGGCUAAAACUCA
rnacentral:rRNA from 1 species